UCUUUCUAUGAACUAUUGAAAAGGUUGUUGUCGACUUACGACCGAUAGACUUUACGACGAUUAGCGCGCCAGCUCCCGGCAGCAAUAGUAAAUAGUCCAG